rnacentral:rRNA from 1 species
AACGAACGCUGGCGGCAGGCCUAACACAUGCAAGUCGAGCGAGGACUUCGGUUCUAGCGGCGGACGGGUGAGUAACGCGUGGGAAUGUGCCCUUCUCUACGGAAUAGCCCUGGGAAACUGGGAGUAAUACCGUAUACGCCCUAUUGGGGAAAGAUUUAUCGGAGAAGGAUUAGCCCGCGUUGGAUUAGGUAGUUGGUGGGGUAAUGGCCUACCAAGCCGACGAUCCAUAGCUGGUUUGAGAGGAUGAUCAGCCACACUGGGACUGAGACACGGCCCAGACUCCUACGGGAGGCAGCAGUGGGGAAUCUUAGACAAUGGGGGCAACCCUGAUCUAGCCAUGCCGCGUGAGUGAUGAAGGCCUUAGGGUUGUAAAGCUCUUUCAGCUGGGAAGAUAAGGACGGUACCAGCAGAAGAAGCCCCGGCUAACUCCGU